GAGGGAGCUCCCAGAAAACUCUCCAGGAACAGCUCAUUGCCAUAUUUCUCACAAGUUAAUUCUGUGAAGGGCAUCUUCUGUUCUGUAAUGACAAAUUCUUGUGCAUGGCUGUGAAUCCAUCUGCUUUGUUCUGUGGGUUAGCUGAUGAGGGAAAAUUGGAUUUGUUGGUACAGGGGGUUAUGUCUUAAAUGAGUGGUACAAAAAUAGGUCACAAAACUGAGAACUAAGCUUGCUGUUUAUUUAUUUCUUUUUAUUUUAAUCACCCCAGAUCCUUUAUUUGAGAAGAAUGGGCUAUGUAGGUUGCCUGCUCACAGAUUUGGUCGCAUUUGCUAAUAAUUUCAAAGAAAAGGAAAAAUCGUUGUCAGCACUCAGUGUCCUGGAUGGAGACGUGGCAGAAUAAUCUCUUCCCUAUGUCAGGAGCUGAGCUGCUGCAGAAUCCAUCAGGAAUAUGGCAAUUCUGGCAAAUCCUCGCUCCUGGAAGAAUUUCAGCUCCGGUUUCCCAGCUCCCAGGAAUGACCCACCCUGCAGGUGUCAGCACAUUCUGGUGGUGCAGAGGCGGGACCAGCUCCAGUAAUAUUUCCUGAGUUGAAUCACCCUCGGAGAUGGCUCAGAUGUGAAACAGCUCAGUUGAACUGAGGAUGUGGCUCUCAUCUUCUCUGGGAUUUUUGAAACGCCCACCAUGGCUGGUGAGAGGAGCUACAUUUCUAAUACUGAAAUUUAGAUCUUCAAGCCUACAACCUCCUCCAAGUCAAGCCUGGUGAGAUUUGGGAUAUUGGAUCCUAUCCCUGAAGUGCAUAUUAUUCCUACUGAGAAACAAGCAUUUAUAUACAGCAAGGUAUGCAUAAAAGCAAACUGUAUUCUGCUUUCACAAGCACCAUGGUCAAGAUGAGUAAAUGAAUAAAUGAAUAAACUAUGAAAAGUGGGAGUAUAUUGCUGUAAUUUCCAUCCCUCAUUUUGCUGUGCCCUAGUUGGCUUUUACUCCAAAUAUUUUAAUCUUUUGCUUAUCAGGCCAUGGAUUACCUUUCCAAAUUAAUCCCCAUGUACCUCUGUGCUCACGUGGUCCAGUUGGUGCAGAACUGCUCUGUGCAGCAGCAUCCAACUUAACACAAACAUCCUUUCCAUGCUCUGAACCUGAAAUCUGGAAGUUUUCUCUGCUGCAUGGCCAUGAUAGAAAUCUGAUGCUCUGGUAGACAUUGUACCUCAAGCUUUAGCUAAUCCAAGUUUCAUGCAAUUACCCUGCAUACUGAUUUUGUAUAGACUCACUUAAAUGCUGGGAGUGUGAAGCCAAGACUCAAUAUGCCUUGAAAGUUAUCAUAAAGUCACUAUGAAAUGACAGGAGUUCCAGAAGUGCAGUUGUGCAUCAAGAAAAAAAAAAAAAAAACCAGACACCAGGAAAAAAAAUAAAAAAGAAACCUCUUUUGAAAAAAUCUGAGAGCAAUGGGAGCACUGAUUUUUGUCCUCUGUGAAUAGAGCCCUCUGCCAGAGUAUGAAACCUCUGGCUGCAAAUUCCCGCAGCUCAAACAAGAGACUGACUACAAGCAAAUAUAAAUGUUGAUUCAUUGUCAUCAGCUAAGCUGAGGAAACAAGCAGCAUAAAGGAUUUUAUAAAUUUAUCUCACAAAUUUAAUAACAAUUAUUAUUAAAAGAAUGUUCCCACUCUGAUUUUAAAGUUUACGUUAUUCCUUCAGUCAAUUUUCUGUUCUCUAAUUAAGCAUUUAGACUUCUUUAAACAAGGAAGUAGUAAAUUCUACAUUCUUCUUUGUCCCUAGAGAUAAAAGUAAAUCUACAGUCAUCACAUGUAGCCACUUCUGAAGGAAAAGAACUUCUGGUUUUGACCACAGAUGGAGAAAGCAUUAAUUGCCUAAUGAUAACUGACACAGCUACAUGAAUAUAUCCAUUUUCUCUCUUUAUUCUCAAAACAAAAUGUUCUAUCCCAAUAUUUAAAACAUUUUCUACUCACGGUACCUGUUGUAGCACCGAGUGAACUCUCUCUGUAUGAAUAUUUUUCUAAAUGCCCAGCUACUGUCUUUCAUUUCAUGCUGACUUCACUGCAGCCCCACCAUUAAUAAUGCAGUAGAGCUCAUGGGCCAAAGAUUUUUCUAUGAAAUACGUAGUUGAAACGAGUGCAGGCCCCAAUUUGUGUGCCACCAGAUGUGCACAACACAAUGAUAUAGAAAUAUCUGACCUGUCACCCAGCUCCUGUUCUCUGGGACCAUGUAAUUAGGAGUACAAAAGGGAGCAGUAAUCCUGAUAAUUACGACUGCUAAUUGAGAUAGGGGAGCAGAGAAGAAACUAGAAAUUCAUUAAAGCACAAGUUGUAAGUUGCAGAUGAGUCACUAAAUUUGGGCUGGAGACUCCUUGGUUAGCAAUAAUAUCCGUGCUGAUCAUCACUCCAGUUGCUGCUUUAGUUUGGAUUGUUAGGAUUUUUCUCCCCCGUCAAUUUUUGAUUUAUUUACCCCAAGGGACAAGCAAUGACAGUUCCUGUUGUGGAAAGUGCCAUGAAUACACUGAAUAAGAGGGAUCCAAGACUGGUUUCCAGAACAGUUACCCAGCCCUGGCUGCAUCCAGCUGUGCCAAAACCAGACCCAGGGCUCUUCACUCUGGCCCAGCUGCCGCAGGCAGGAGAGCACCAGGCAGGGGAGGAGAUGAAGAUCCAGCAGAUCCCUUGGUUUGGAUGGCAGCUGGCCAGAACCAUAACAUGCCUUUUGGCCCAUACUGUCCAACAAUUUAGGCCAAAAAUCUAACUGCCAACUAGAAUUUUGCAUCAAACCUCUGCCAACCAAGAUUUGUUGGAAAAAGAUUAAGUUUAAAAAUUAGUGUUAUCAAACAUGUAACAGUUUGGAAGAAAGAAAGUUUCUGUAGUAGAAGUAAGACUACACUUCUGUCUAUUAUAAACUUAUUUUUAGAUGUCCAGACUGAAUUUAACUGAAGGUGUCUAAGCUCUCAAAGCAAAGAAUACAGAGGAGGUUUUUUAUAGAUGCAUACACAAAAGUACAAUUCCUCCCCUGAAGGAGGAUUUUAAAAUUAUUAUUAUUUUUAUUUUUUUUUUUCAUCUUUAGGCUUUACCCAGCUCUUUAAAUCAUUCCAGGCUGGUUUCUCUUCAAUUGUUACUCGUUUUGAUGCUGCCUCUGAAUUGAACACUGGGUUCUGGGGCUCAUCAGCGUGGAGUGCUAUUGUUGUACAGUGGGAUAGAGGCUGGACUUCCUGCUGGAAGAAGGGCCAUGGCACUGCGUAUGCUGCUCCAAAACACAGCCACAUGCACACACAACACUCAGCAGCUGAAAAAAGGAAAAAAAAAGAACUCUCUAAGCACAUAAAGAAAUGAUGUCUAUAAAAUUACUGUGUUGCACAAGAGGCCAUUUGUUUCAAUGACUGCAUUAGAUGAGGUACAAACAGUUAUCUCUUCUUCAUACCAGUACUUUUCAUUUGCAGCUUUAGCAUUAUUCUUUUUUUAAUUAUUAUUAUAAUUUUAUUUUUGUUUUGGCCACUUAAACAGCUGGGUUUUUUUUCCUUUUUAUUUUUUCUCAAAGUUGACUAUGUUUUAUUCACGUCACAGCUUUUAUAUGAUUGUAUAAUGCUUUCUCUUCCUAAUUUAUUUUGUUACCUGUGUGUAUAAAAUGAAUAGUGAAUGCUGUCUUAUUUCAUAAACUUUAUUAAGCCUUUGGGAAACUUCAAUGUGCUCAUAUGGAGAGGCAAUAUAGAAUGUAUCCAGUGUAUCAUGACAAAGAAAUUACAAUUCUAAGCUAGAAAUAAAUGACAUUCCAGAAAAAGCAGAGGGAACAACAUUUAAGGAGUUAAUAAUGAACCACUUGUCUUCAUUUUCAGGUCCUUUAAUCCUGCUAUUGUGCAGUUUUCACACAGUGCUAAAUUGAAUUACUGCAUCAUUUUUUACAAUUUCUUUGUACAGCUGACCCAGUUUAUAGCAGGUUUGGAAGCAUUAUCAUUGCUUAGGGUUCAAAGAUGCUGCAGUGUAUUGCAUUACAAGUCAAUCAGUGUGGAAGGAUUUUGAUGUAAUUUUGCUUUUGGAUACAGAAGAACAGACAUCCAAAUGAAGGCUGGUAUUUUAUUUUGUCAUAACAAUGUCACAUAAGACAGCAUGCCUUUUUUAUACUCAUUUUAUAAUAUUUCUUUGUGCUCCUGGUCCUAGUAAAGUGAAUUCUCAAGUUUAUGUCUUCCAAUGUUUUGAUUAACUUGUACAAGAAGAAAAUUGAAAGAAGCUGUAAUAUGUAGAUUUUUACUGGUGUGUAGCAGAGGAUGCAUUUAGGUGGAUACCACCCAAAAAAGAGCCUAAAAAUGAAUGCAGAGUUUCUCGACAUUGUACCACUUCUAGAAUGCUCCAGGUGAGCAAUUCUUUAUCAGAAAUGUUCCUGUUCCGAGGGGCGGUGCUUCCUAGAGCUGUUUUAGCACAUUAACAUGGUGCUCAGCUUAAAUACACUCUAAGCAAUGUGUUUUACAUAAAACAUUUCAUUCUCUCAAGGUCAUUCUUUAUGCCUCAGGUGUUAAUUUGUGUUGUUCUUCAAGUAUUCCUGUUAUGGAUAGUGGAGCCCUUGGUAUAUGUUAUAUUGAAAUAUUGCUAAUGUAUGAACUGUAACAUUAAAUUUUUAAUCUAAUCAAUCAA